rnacentral:pre_miRNA from 1 species
AUAAUACUCCCUCUGUCCGGAAAUACUUGUCGAAGAAAUGAAUAAAAAUGAAUGUAUUUAGAACUAAAAUACGUCUAGAUACAUUCAUUUCUUCGACAAAUAUUUCCGGACGGAGGGAGUAAUAU